GAGAAAACUCGCAAGGAUUGCUAACCCGUGCC
rnacentral:tRNA from 1 species